GAAGAGAGAGAGGGAGAGGGAGAGUGGUUUAUUCGUUUAUUCAUUUAUUCGUGUAUUCAACUCAAAGUCUUCAAUCUCUCUUUUGACUUUAUAAUAAACAACUAUAUUGUUUGUGUAGAAUGCAUUAGCCUCAUUGUAGGUGAAAUAACUAUACAACUUUCAACAACGGAUCUCUUGGCUCUCGCAUCGAUGAAGAACGCAGCGAAAUGCGAUAAGUAAUGUGAAUUGCAGAAUUCAGUGAAUCAUCGAAUCUUUGAACGCACCUUGCACUCCUUGGUAUUCCGAGGAGUAUGCCUGUUUGAGUGUCAUGUUAAUCUCAAUACAACAUUUUUUGUAACUAAAAAGUGUUAAUAUUGGACUUGGGGACUGCUGGCGUAAGUCGGCUUCUCUUGAAUGCAUUAGCUGGGCUUUUGCUCGAGUAAUUGGUGUAAUAGUUUCUAACAUUCACCGUUUACACUUGCUAAUAGAGUCUGCUUCUAAUCGUCUUGUAAUGAGACAAACACUUAACUUUGACCUUUGGCCUCAAAUCAGGUAG
rnacentral:rRNA from 1 species